rnacentral:lncRNA from 1 species
UACAAUCUCAGUUAAUGAAGCAUGGAAAAUCAAAAUCAAAGCAUCAGCAUUUACUACCUCCUAGAUGCCUGGAACUUUUCAAAGUGAAUUACAGAGCAGAUUCACACCCUUUAAAGAAUUUGUAAAUUCAGAAACGGCUGGGAGCAGGUGAGUAUUUCUGCAAAAUUUGAGAGGUGUGGAUCUAUGACCGAGGAAGCAAGGACUGUGGCAUCCCCAGAAGCUUUCCUUUUGAAUCAGGAGCUGCUUUGACCAGGACUUGCGUGGUAUAGUGUUCGCAGAAGCACGGAUGGCCACGGACCUCUAUCCUAUUAUUUACUCUUAUUACUUCCUGGUGUUGGCACUUCCGCAGAAAAUGUUGACGCGUGACAUCAAAGGCAAAGAGGAGAUCCGCAAUCCCUAGUUCCUUCCCUGCUCCUCCUAAGCUGAGGGAAGCGAGCGUGGGGAAAACGUGCAAAUAUCAAGGAGCAAAAUCAAAACAGCCAAGUUCAUUUGGGGCGGCGUACGUGAUUCAAAGCGUGGUGAACAUCCGCGGCGAGGUCUUGCCGAAUUACUUCUAUGAGAAGGCACGAUGCAGUCGCUGGGAGCUGGGGCUCUGGUGCUAGACCCCAGCGUGGCCAACUUGUAUCCUUGGGCUCGGCCGGCUUCAGGACACAGCACAGGAGCGGAAUGCUGAACCAGGGCUUAUGGCAUAUGAAUUGCAACAUUUCCAUAUUUUUCCUGCACAAACAGCCGGGACCAGAUUGUAUACACAUUUCAGGAUCAACAAGAGUGUUUGUAGACUAUUGAAAGGUGGAUUUAUAUAUAAGACUUAUUUCCCAUUGAAGACAUCAGAUUGGAGUCUUCUGAUGAAGACAUCAGAUUCGAACUGACAGCGCAGAGCCCGACACGGGGCUCGAACUCAUGGACCGCAAGAUCAUGACCUGAGCCGAAGUCGGAUGCCCAACCUACUGAGCCACUCAGGUGCCCCGACCUCCCUACCUUUUAAAGAUGAAAGAGAGGUUUAAUUACCCCUAAACCUUUCUACAAGCCCCCUCAUCCCUAUGCAAUUUACUUUUCAUGUCUUGCUGUAUCCCACUUAUUUAUUUUUUAUUUAUUUAUUUAAGUGUUUAUUUAUUUUGAGAGACAGAGAGAGUGCACGAGCAGGGAGAGGGACAGAGAGAGAGGAGAGAGAAACCCAAGCUGGCUCCACGCUAUCAGCACAGAGCCUGAUGUGGGGCUCGAUCCCACCAACUGCGAGAUCAUGACCUGAGCUGAAACCAAGAGUCAGACGCUUCACCAAAUGAGCCACCUAGGCACCCCCACCCCCCCACUUACUUAUAAAUACAAGUUCAGCCUCCAGGUAAGGAGUCCUCUUUUCCAAACAUAGAAAUUCCUGAAGAAAAGGGGAAGAAUUAGCUUCUGUGUCCCACUGACUUUGCCAUUUAGGGCCAUGUAACUCUGGGUGCAAAUUUCAAGGGAUAAUGAAAACUAUAGCUUUGGCCUCCAGAAUUGAAAUGCUUUUUGUAAUUGAAAUACUUUUGUACUGGGAAAAUGGCAAUUGUACAAAUGAAGGAUAAACAAAAUCUCCUAAGUGAAAUAUUUUCUUCACCAAAUGAAGUUUAGUCAACUACUAAUUUAAGGCAACAUUUCACAUCCUCUUGUAUAUCAGCUAGAAAAACUGAUAGCACCCAUAAUUUUCAUUUAUAAGUGCAAAAAUGCAGCCCUGUUUUCUCAAACUUAUUAAAGUUGAUAACUUUAUCACUAACACCUUCUGGAUUAAAGCUGUAACCAUCCAGGGGCACCUGGAUGGCUCAGUCGGUUGAGCGUCCGACUUCGGCUCAGGUCAUGAUCUCACAGCUCGUGAGUUCGAGACCCGCGUUGGGCUCUGUGCUGACAGCUCAGAGCCUGGAGCCUGCUUCAGAUUCUGUGUCUGCCUCUCUCUCUGCCCCUAACCCCCUCGCAUUCUGUCUCUGUCUCUCUCAAAAAUAAAUAAACAUUAAAAACAAAAACA